CAUAACCGAGCAGCAGCCCGAAAGAGACGCCAGUCGCGCUCUAACUGUUCACGGAGGAAGACGAUUCGGCGCUGCAUCUGGGCUUCUGACGACCAUUUACAAACGAAAACAUCAACACUAGGAUCGUUUCAAGGAAAUCUUCCUACUUGCGUGAACGCUAUUAAGAUGGCGCUGCAGGGGCCGACACGCCAAUUGCCGGAGGUGGUGGUACUUCCAAGGCUGUUCGAAAUGACAGUAUUGACUUGCCCGACCGCGCCGGCGGUUAAGGAUGCUCGGCAAAACAGUUGGCUCUCCUACUACCACCUGAACCAGAGAGCAAAUGCGCUAGCCAGGUACAGUUCUCUUCGAGAUCUAUCUCUCCAUUUC